CGUAAGAAUAAGCACCGGCUAACUACGUGCCAGCAGCCGCGGUAAUACGUAGGGUGCGAGCGUUAAUCGGAAUUACUGGGCGUAAAGCGUGCGCAGGCGGUUAUAUAAGACAGAUGUGAAAUCCCCGGGCUCAACCUGGGAACUGCAUUUGUGACUGUAUAGCUAGAGUACGGCAGAGGGGGAUGGAAUUCCGCGUGUAGCAGUGAAAUGCGUAGAUAUGCGGAGGAACACCGAUGGCGAAGGCAAUCCCCUGGGCCUGUACUGACGCUCAUGCACGAAAGCGUGGGGAGCAAACAGGAUUAGAUACCCUGGUAGUCCACGCCCUAAACGAUGUCAACUGGUUGUUGGGUCUUCACUGACUCAGUAACGAAGCUAACGCGUGAAGUGACC
rnacentral:rRNA from 1 species